AUGUGUUCUAAGAGGUGGGGGGUUGCAGAGAGGGCCUCAGCGAUCUUCCCCUCAUCUCUUGCCCUCCACCUUCAGGAAGGAAGAUGCUCAGGCCACAGGUGGAGGUGGAACCCAAAGCCCAAGACUACAUAACGUCCUCCCUGAAGAACUGAGCACAGGCAGGAGCUCAAUGGAAACAGGCUCUCAUCGGAUGACAACAAUCCAGCUGCAGGUCACAAGACAUGGCCAGGAACCCAAAACUCCAGUUGAUUACCUUCGGGACAAACUCAAUACUCAAGAUGAUUGCUUUUUUCAUAUCACUCCUAGAGACGCUUUUGCUCCUGGCAGGAAACAGUCAUUUACUUGGAUUACAUCUGAUACUUGGACCAGAAUUGGCUUCUACUUCUCCAGAGUUUACAGCCUGGAGACCUACAGGUACACCCGGUCACGCUGUUGAGCUGAGUCAGGGAUUUGGGGCAGAUCAUUGGUGCAUUCAGGAAAAACAUUCUGCCUGGGAACCCUCAGUGAGGCAAGAGUGAGAAGAAUUACAGCAUAAUACUGGUUGUGAGCUCAUGCUCAAGAUGCAAAAGCCGACCACUUCCAAGACGUGUGAUUGAUCUGGGUAUAUUUCCUCCCUGAGCAUGAGUUUCUUUACCUAUAAAACAGGAUAGAAGACUGCUAGAAGGUUCCAAUGAGCUAUAAAAUAAUACACAGUGUCUGGCCCACAAUAUACGUUCAGUACAUGUGAGCUAACAUGAUUAUUACAUUUAUCAUCUACUGUCUCCACUGUGCCAUUUUCAGCGUGUAUAUUCCCCAACUUAUUUUGGACUUCUUUACUAUGUAAUGAUUCUUCUUUAAAAAAAAAA